AUAGCUUACAUUCAUUCUGAGGGGUAAGUCAGUGCAUAGCUCUGGGCCGGAUCUCCUACACACAAGUCCCUCUUCUGCCUGGCUGCACAUAUCUAGUCGCUCCCUGGUAGUCAUUCUACUACACAUUCGUUUGGAAGGAGCCCGACCACUGUUGGCACCCUCUUCCGCUGGUGUGCUACUGGCUCUGUAGUGAAGUCACUUGUGGCGUUCUGUGUUGAGUGUUGUCUCUCCUGCGCAUACAGUGGCACCCUUUACUCAACUUUACCUUCUACAAGAGAACAGCUCCAUCGCCAUGGCGGACGAGGAGGACUACGAUUUGGAGGUGAACAAGAAAGAGGUGGAUAAAAUUGAACGCCCGGAGCGGCUGAUCGAGGUCCUCCAGCACGACACUAACCAAACGCUCACGGAGGAGAUGGUAGAGCACGCACAGACGGUGCUCGACUCCAUGCCGGUCGAACACACCUACAAAGAUGUAGCAGCGAAGCUGAAGCGUCGACUUGACGGCGCAUACGGCGGCACCUGGCACGUCAUCGUAGGCAAGCACUUCGGCGCCAACGUCACCAACGACGAUGACACCCUGAUCAACAUGAAGAUCAACGGCGUGUACUUCUUAGCCAUGCGCUCUGGUCCACCGGAACGUCCGCAAGAAAGUGCGGAGAAUGAGGCCGUCACAGAGGAGUGAAGCGAAAGGAGGAGGUCGAGAGCCUUCUUGCACGAAAUAGACGAAAGAGAAGAGUAGUGGCGGAGAAUCGGAAAGAGAGAUCGCGUGGUGCUCUGGGGGGUGAGGGUGGGUGGGCAGGCUCUGUCGCGCGUGAGACGGUGCGGCUGUAGCCUAUGCAAAGAGAAUCCUUGCGCCAACAGUUCACUGACGCGCAACGCCCCCCCCCUCCCCUCUCUUUCACUUCUGUUCUCUCGCAACACGUGAGUCUUCUCAGCUCAAUGUACAGCUUCCGUUGUGUCUCUCUCGGUAUGUGUGGCGCAUGCCGAUGCGCACGUUGUAUUUUCUUUCUUCGGCAGCUGGAUGCGAUGCCGCACGGAUGCCUGUGUGGUAUGUGCAUGUGUGUGCGCGUGUACGUGUGUGCUUCUCUCCGAGGGGCUGGCAGAGGGUCUUUUCGAUUCCUGCCAUGUUCUUAGAUGCACCGAGGUGCACACAAACCUACGCAUACGCUCAAACGCGUGCAAAGAUGUCUUGCACCCCCUUUUUCCCACUGUUCGGCAUCCUUUGCUCUUGAGUAUCAUGUACAACAGGGUUAUUUUU
rnacentral:misc_RNA from 1 species